GUCCCCCGUUGCGUAGAACUGUCCUUGGCGCCAAUUCUCCUAUUUCAAGGUUGUGUAAAACUCUUAACCUCAACAGCUCUGUCAUCGACAUUAACUCUGACUCUUUGUAUAAGUUUCGGGAAAAGAUUUUCAUAUCUUGGAAGCCUUGAUUAGGAGGUAUUAUCAGUAAU